rnacentral:sRNA from 1 species
UAUCCUACGAGUCUCAUUUCUUUAGCUC